UGGCAGGAUCAACCAGGUAGCAUUCCUCUUCAACGUCGUCGAUCACGCACCAACAUGUGAACACGCGACCGGCGUCGUUUUUAGAGAAGCGAGAACGCUUAUUUGGGGCAAAAACAAGGCCAUAACAACCCCAUACCCACAUAAGGUUCCAUAUCCGAGAGACCAAGCAACGCUCCAUGGGCCAUGAAACCAACACUUAUGCACCAGUAGCAUGGAUCACAGAGAAUACUUCAAGGUUCAACCCGCGCCACAAGAGCGGCGCGCAAUGAACAAGGACACUGUUACGGCGAUACGAUUCCUUCAUAUAGGUAUGCAACACAGAGAUCCCACGCAGUGCUCAAGGCAAAAUCUGCCUUGAACUCAAUUGAAGAGGUAUGUACCGGUGGACGUUGCUGCACAAGCAGACGACCAACCACCCGUAGCAUUCCAAUCACCACUCACGCACCGUUCCGGUCAUCAAUCCCAAGGAUCAACCCAGCCACUAGCAACCAACCUGACGCAAGCGCCAAACGAGCCACUAGAAGCAAAAGAAGAACCCAGAAUGC
rnacentral:misc_RNA from 1 species